rnacentral:rRNA from 1 species
UGUAACUUCUUUUCUCAGAGAAGAUAUUGUGACGGUAUCUGAGGAAUAAGCAUCGGCUAACUCUGUGCCAGCAGCCGCGGUAAGACAGAGGAUGCAAGCGUUAUCCGGAAUGAUUGGGCGUAARGCGUCUGUACGUGGCUUAAAAAGUCUCCUGUCAAAGAUCAGGGCUUAACCCUGGGCCSGCWKGAKAAWCUCUKASGCUAGARUUUGGUAGGGGCAGAGGGAAUUCCCGGUGGAGCGGUGAAAUGCGUAGAGAUCGGGAGGAACACCAAAGGCGAAAGCACUCUGCUGGGCCAGAACUGACACUGAGAGACGAAAGCGAGGGGAGCAAAAGGGAUUAGAUACCCCUGUAGUCCUCGCCGUAAACGAUGGAUACUAGAUGUUGGAUAGGUUAAAGCAUUCAGUAUCGUAGCUAACGCGUGAAGUAUCCCGCCUGGGGAGUAUGCUCGCAAGAGUGAAACUCARAGGAAUUGACGGGGGCCCGCACAAGCGGUGGAGCAUGUGGUUUAAUUCGAUGCAACGCGAAGAACCUUACCAGGACUUGACAUGCCACUUUUUCCCUGAAAGGGGAAGUUCCAGAGUGGACACARGUGGUGCAUGGCUGUCGUCAGCUCGUGUCUUGAGAUGUUGGGUUAAGUCCCGCAACGAGCGCAACCCUUGUUUUGAAUUGCCAAUUAUGGGAAAUUCAAAAGACUGCCGGUGAUAAGCCGGAGGAAGGUGAGGAUGACGUCAAGUCAGCAUGCCCCUUACGUCCUGGGCGACACACGUGCUACAAUGGCCGGGGACAAAGAGAAUGCAAACCCGCKAGGGCUAGCCAACCUCAAAAACCCGGCUCAGUUCGGAUU